rnacentral:rRNA from 1 species
AAGGAGUUUUCGGACAACGGAAGGUGUGGAAAGUGGCGGACGGGUGAGUAACGCGUGAGGAACCUGCCUUGGAGAGGGGGACAACAGCUGGAAACGGCUGCUAAUACCGCAUGACGCACGAUGGGGACAUCCCCGACGUGCCAAAGAUUUAUCGCUCUGAGAUGGCCUCGCGUCUGAUUAGCUAGUUGGUGGGGUAACGGCUCACCAAGGCGACGAUCAGUAGCCGGACUGAGAGGUUGAACGGCCACAUUGGGACUGAGAUACGGCCCAGACUCCUACGGGAGGCAGCAGUGGGGAAUAUUGGGCAAUGGGCGCAAGCCUGACCCAGCAACGCCGCGUGAAGGAAGAAGGCUUUCGGGUUGUAAACUUCUUUUAAGGGGGAAGAGCAGAAGACGGUACCCCUUGAAU